rnacentral:rRNA from 1 species
UACAGAGGGUGCAAGCGUUAAUCGGAAUUACUGGGCGUAAAGCGUGCGUAGUCGGUUGCGUAAGUCAGAUGUGAAAGCCCCGGGCUCAACCUGGGAAUUGCAUUUGAGACUGCGUAGCUAGGGUGCGGAAGAGGGAAGCGGAAUUUCCGGUGUAGCGGUGAAAUGCGUAGAUAUCGGAAGGAACACCAGUGGCGAAAGCGGCUUCCUGGUCCAGCACCGACGUUCAGGCACGAAAGCGUGGGGAGCAAACAGG